CUAGACGAGUUUGAUCCUGGCUCAGAAUGAACGUUGGCGGCGUGGAUUAGGCAUGCAAGUCGAGCGUACCCAGCAAUGGGGAAGCGGCAAACGGGGUAGUAAGGCGUCGGUACGUGCCCUCGGGACGAGGAUAGCCACGGGAAACUGUGGGUAAUACUCGAUGAUCUCGUGAGAGCAAAGGUGUGAUUCCGCCAGGGGAGCGGCCGACGUGGUAUUAGGUAGUUGGUGGGGUAAUGGCCCACCAAGCCUGGGAUGCCUAGGGGGUGUGAGAGCAUGGCCCCCACCAUUGGGACUGAGAUACUGCCCAGACACCUACGGGUGGCUGCAGUCGAGAAUCUUCGGCAAUGGGCGCAAGCCUGACCGAGCGACGCCGCGUGCGGGAUGAAGGCCUCGGUUGUAACGCUGUCAGAGGGAUGAAAUCACAGUGGGUUCGUCCCAUUGUGUUUGACAGAGCCUCAGAGGAAGCGCGGGCUAAGUUCGUG
rnacentral:rRNA from 1 species